UACGUAGGGUGCGAGCGUUAAUCGGAAUUACUGGGCGUAAAGCGAGCGCAGGCGGUUUUGUAAGUCAGAUGUGAAAGCCCCGGGCUCAACCUGGGAACUGCGUUUGAAACUACAAGGCUAGAGUAUAGGAGAGGGAGGUAGAAUUCCACGUGUAGCAGUGAAAUGCGUAGAGAUGUGGAGGAAUACCAAUGGCGAAGGCAGCCUCCUGGCCUAAUACUGACGCUCAUGCUCGAAAGCGUGGGGAGCAAACAGG
rnacentral:rRNA from 1 species